rnacentral:rRNA from 1 species
UAGGGAAUCUUCGGCAAUGGACGAAAGUCUGACCGAGCAACGCCGCGUGAGUGAAGAAGGUUUUCGGAUCGUAAAACUCUGUUGUUAGAGAAGAACAAGGACGUUAGUAACUGAACGUCCCCUGACGGUAUCUAACCAGAAAGCCACGGCUAACUACGUGCCAGCAGCCGCGGUAAUACGUAGGUGGCAAGCGUUGUCCGGAUUUAUUGGGCGUAAAGCGAGCGCAGGCGGUUUCUUAAGUCUGAUGUGAAAGCCCCCGGCUCAACCGGGGAGGGUCAUUGGAAACUGGGAGACGUGAGUGCAGAAGAGGGGAGUGGAAUUCCAUGUGUAGCGGUGAAAUGCGUAGAUAUAUGGAGGAACACCAGUGGCGAAGGCGGCUCUCUGGUCUGUAACUGACACUGAGGCUCGAAAGCGUGGGGAGCAAACAGG